CGGGAACUUAGAUACAGGUGCUGCAUGGCUGUCGUCAGCUCGUGUCGUGAGAUGUUGGGUUAACGUCCGCAACGAGCGCCAACCCUUUUCCUUAUUUGCCAGCGGGUAAUGCCGGGAACUUUAAGGAUACUGCCAGUGACAAACUGGAGGAAGGCGGGGACGACGUCAAGUCAUCAUGGCCCUUACGGCCAGGGCUACACACGUGCUACAAUGGUCGGUACAAAGGGUUGCUACCUCGCGAGAGGAUGCUAAUCUCAAAAAGCCGAUCGUAGUCCGGAUCGCAGUCUGCAACUCGACUGCGUGAAGUCGGAAUCGCUAGUAAUCGCGGAUCAGAAUGCCGCGGUGAAUACGUUCCCGGGCCUUGUACACACCGCCCGUCACACCAUGGGAGUUUGUUGCACCAGAAGUAGGUAGUCUAACCGCAAGGAGGACGCUUACCACGGUGUGGCCGAUGACUGGGGUGAAGUCGUAACAAGGUAGGCGUAGAUGA
rnacentral:rRNA from 1 species